CCAACGUUUGAAGAUGAAUUCUUCAAUAUGUGGAGUUUUAACUCAUAGUACCAUGCAGCCUCAAUCCGGAGCGUAAGAAAGAGUCUUUGGAGAAAUAUUUGGGGACUUCUCCACCUCAGCAGUAUAUGUAGGUGGGUAUGCAGCUUCACUCUUAGUUGUCUUUGGAGAUAUAUUUUGGGACUUCUCCACCUCAGCAGUACAUGUAGUGGGAAAGUUUCAUCAUCAGGAGCUCCAACAAAAUUGCAAGUCAGCUUUAGUUUUGUAUAGGUGUACAGAUUGUAGGACAAUUGUUCAGAUUAUUUAAUUUGAGGAGAUAGGUAAUCAUGUAAAUAACGUACAUAUAUCAGAGUGGUGAUCUUAUUUUUUACUUAUACGGCCGACCAUGCCAUUAGUUUCAGUGUCGUAUGUGUAAAUUGUAAAUAUAUUGGUUCUCUUAGUUUUGCUGGCAGAAUUGCCAUCUCAUCUGUACAACAUUAUUUGUUGUAAUUAUCCUGUGUAUAGGUGUUGCCAAAAAAAAAAUCAUGUAUAUACAUGUGUAUCCUUUCUGCCC